UGGGGAAUAUUGGACAAUGGAGGAAACUCUGAUCCAGCAAUUCUGUGUGUGUGAAGAAGGUUUUAGGACUGUAAAACACUUUUAGUAGGGAAGAAAAAAAUGACGGUACCUACAGAAGAAGCAACGGCUAAAUACGUGCCAGCAGCCGCGGUAAUACGUAUGUUGCGAGCGUUAUCCGGAAUUAUUGGGCUUAAAGGGCAUCUAGGCGGUAAGACAAGUUGAAGGUGAAAACCUGUGGCUCAACCAUAGGCUUGCCUACAAAACUGUUGAACUAGAGUACUGGAAAGGUGGGUGGAAUUACACGAGUAGAGGUGAAAUUCGUAGAUAUGUGUAGGAAUGCCGAUGAUGAAGAUAACUCACUGGACAGAAACUGACGCUGAAGUGCGAAAGCUAGGGGAGCAAACAGG
rnacentral:rRNA from 1 species